rnacentral:rRNA from 1 species
CGGACGGGUGAGUAACGCGUGAGAAUCUAGCUUCAGGUUCGGGACAACAGUUGGAAACGGCUGCUAAUACCGAAUGUGCCGAGAGGUAAAAGGCUUGCUGCCUGAAGAUGAGCUCGCGUCUGAUUAGCUAGUUGGAGUGGUAAUGGCACACCAAGGCGACGAUCAGUAACUGGUCUGAGAGGAUGACCAGUCACACUGGGACUGAGACACGGCCCAGACUCCUACGGGAGGCAGCAGUGGGGAAUUUUCCGCAAUGGGCGCAAGCCUGACGGAGCAAUACCGCGUGAGGGAGGAAGGCUUUUGGGUCGUAAACCUCUUUUGUCAGGGAAGAAGUUCUGACGGUACCUGACGAAUCAGCAUCGGCUAACUCCGUGCCAGCAGCCGCGGUAAUACGGAGGAUGCAAGCGUUAUCCGGAAUUAUUGGGCGUAAAGGGUCCGCAGGUGGCCUAUCAAGUCUGCUGUUAAAGCGUGGAGCUUAACUCCAUACAGGCAGUGGAAACUGGGAGGCUAGAGUUCGGUAGGGGUCACGGGAAUUCCCAGUGUAGCGGUGAAAUGCGUAGAUAUGGGAAGAACACCGGCGGCGAAAGCGCGUGACUGGGCUGAGACUGACACUGAG